UUUUAUAUUUUAAAUUUAAAUUUAUAGUUUACAAAUAUCAAUAUUUUUUUCUUUUUUAUAAUUAAAUUAUAUUGUUUUAUAGAAAUUAAAAUUUUUGACAUUUGAAUUAUAAUUACAUUAAUUGCUAAUUGUUUUAUAAAGCACAUAUUUUAUUAUAAUAGAAAUAAUUAUCAUAAAAAAUUAAUUUAGUAAAAAUUUUAAUUUAAUUUGAUUAUAUUAUAUUGAAAAAUAAAAUUUUAAAUAUUUUAUUUUAUUUUAUGAUUUUAUUAAAAUAAAAAAUUUUAUUUUGAAAUAUUGCAUUUCUAUAUAAAGUCAAUAUAUAUAAUUGGAAAUAGCUUUGAAUUAGAUAUCAUACAAUACAUAUCAAUGGACAGAAAUUUAAAUCAUUAAUAGUAUCUAUAUAUAUAUUAUUUCAAAAUUCUUUCUUUCUUUGUUUAUAAAUGUAAUGAUAAAAUGGCAACGGAAAAGGAUUUAAUUAAUGCAGUCAGAGAAUCACUUAAAGCUGAUGGAGAUCUAGGUCGUAUAAAAGCUGAAAUGCGUACAGAAGUUAUAAAAUUACUAGAUAAUUCAAAUAAAGGAAAUAAAACAAAGCUUCCAAAGCCACCUCUAGAUAUUAUAUUUUUAAAUGAACUUAUCAGAGAAUAUUUAGAUUGGAUGGGAUAUAAGUACAGCUCUACUGUAUUUAUUUCAGAAUGUGACUUAUCAAAGCAACCUCUUGAUAGGUCUUUGCUUUUGCAAAGUUUAGGACUAAAGGAAAGUGAGAAUAGUACAAAAUUACCAUUGCUGUGUAAUAUUGUAGAAACAUUUAAGAAUUUAAAAAGUACAUAAAUAUAUGAAAUUAUAUAUUGGUAUAAUAUGAAUAAAAAUUUAAGACUAAGUACUAAACACACAUAUUGUGAAUAAACAAAAAAAAAAAAAAAGUUUUCAAACUCAAAUUUUAUGAUUAAAUUAAAAUUUAGGAGGUGCAACAUCAUCAAAUCUUUUGUGAGGUACAUCUCGUAAAGGACUACCAAAACGUUGGCUAGAUGGUCCAGGAUACCUGCUGACAAAAAAUUCACAGAAGAUAUUUAUAUUUUUAUUAAAAUUUUCCAAAAUCAUUUAAAUUAUGCAAUAUACAUUUGAUUUAUAAAAAAUCAAUUCUAUAUGAAUUUUUUAAUUUAUAAAUUAUUAAAAUUUAAAAUGCAACAAAAAA